AGCAUGGAACACCCUCUGGCCGCAAGAAAGGAAGCGCCAAAGAGCAUUCUUUCUUUUUGGACUAGCACUUAUUCUGCAACUGGACAUUGAGGGCAUCAGGACAUUCUUUCAUACUUUCUUCCGCUUGCCCACCUGGAUGUGGCAGGGUUUCCUUGGCUCCACUUUGUCCUCAGCUGAUCUCAUGCUUUUUGCCGUGUACAUGUUUGUUAUAGCACCAAAUAAUUUGAGAAAGGGCCUCAUCAGACAUCUACUUUCUGAUCCUACUGGAGCCACUAUGAUAAGAACCUAUCUCACCCUAUAGCCUGUCUGUGCGCCCUUCAAUUCCUUCCCUUAGCAGCCCUACAUAAGAACAUAGUUUAGAAUUAAUACACUCAGAUCCCACCCCACUUUUGGAAGUCACUUCCUUUUUGUGUAAAUAAUACAAAUACUCUUCCCUCUGCUACCAUUUAGAAGAUCAAAGAUGUGAUUAACAAUUGUAGUAAAUA